GGGUCUCGUUUAACGCAACAAGUCAAUCAAAAAUCAAUUCCCUAGCUCUUUGAGAAACAACAACUGUUCAUAAAUAACAAGUUGAACUAAGCCACUCCAUCGAACAGCUAUGUCAAAUUCAAGGCAAAUUUAAAGAACACGGCGAUCUUUGAAAAUACGGAUACAUUAUUUCACCGCCGCUGAGCUGAACUCUCUAUACGUUGAGAAGACAAUCAAGAACUAAAGAAGCAAUAUGUUGAACUUGAACUGUAAGCUUGUUCUCAUACUAAUCGCCGUUCAAAUGGCUUUGGAAACGCAACAUGUAAGUGCAUGGAGAAGAAGAAGAACACCUGCAAAGACUUGUGGAUACUGCAAUAGCCUAACCUGUGCAGUGAGGUAUUCAAAACCAACUCCUCGAUGGCUGAUUUUUCGUGACUGCAGUACCUGCGGCUAUGGUUGCCAGUGUUAUUAUUCUCACCGUGCUUCUAGAAAUGGUCCUUUCGUAUAUCAAUGUAAAACCUAAAUUUCUUCCGUAACUUUCAAAACUUAUGGGAUUCUGAUGUCAAGAACGAAUUUAAGACCCUUAAGGAAGUAAAUGGUAAACAGAAAAUAAAAAAGGGAUUACUUGCUUAA